rnacentral:rRNA from 1 species
GACAGAGGUGCCGAGCGUUAGGCGGAAUCACUGGGCUUAAAGCGUGUGUAGGCGGGUCGUUAAGUGUCUUGUGAAAUCCCCCGGCUCAACCGGGGAAUGGCUGGGCAUACUGGCGAUCUUGAGCAGUCUAGGGGCAGAUGGAACAAGUGGUGGAGCGGUGAAAUGCGUAGAUAUCGUAAGGAAGACCAGUGGCGAAGGCGGGUCUCUGGACAGUUCCUGACGCUGAGGCACGAAAGCGUGGGGAGCAAACAGG